UACGGAGGGUGCGAGCGGUGUUCGGAAUUACUGGGCGUAAAGGGGGCGUAGGCGGUUUGUUAAGUCAAGUGUGAAAGUCCACGGCUUAACUGUGGAAGUGCAUUUGAGACUGGCAGGCUGGAGUUUCGGAAGGGAAAGUGGAAUUCCUGGUGUAGGAGUGAAAUCCGUAGAUAUCAGGAGGAAUACCGGUGGCGAAGGCGACUUUCUGGACGAAUACUGACGCUGAGGCCCGAAAGCGUGGGGAGCAAACAGG
rnacentral:rRNA from 1 species